rnacentral:lncRNA from 1 species
ACCUUCACCAUACCCCAUAGGCUUAACUGUUUGGUCAGGAUCUUCUGGUUCACUCGCCAGGGACUGCACUUUAUGAUCAGGCUUUUCUUUGUGAUCGAGCAUAGUUUUAGGAUCAGGUUCUUCUAGCUCACCCCACAUGGGUUGCAGUUCAUGAUCAGGCAUGACCUUGUCCUCAGGCUCCUCUGGUUCACCUGGCAUGGACCGCAGCAUAUGGUCAGGCAUGAUCUUGUCCUCAGGCUCCUCUGGUUCACCCGGCAUGGACCGCAGCAUAUGAUCAGGCAUGAUCUUGUCCUCAGGCUCCUCUGGUUCACCUGGCAUGGAGUGCAUUUUGCGAUCAGGCAUGAUCUUGUCCUCAGGCUCUUCCGGUUCACCCGGCAUGGACUGGAGUCUAUGAUCAGGCAUGAUCUUGUCCUCAGGCUCCUCUGGUUCACCCGGCAUGGACCGCAGCAUAUGAUCAGGCAUGAUCUUGUCCUCAGGCUCCUCUGGUUCACCUGGCAUGGAUUGCAUUUUGCGAUCAGGCAUGAUCUUGUCAUCAGGCUCUUCCGGUUCACCCGGCAUGGACUGGAGUUUAUAAUCAGGCAUGAUCUUGUCCUCAGGUUCUUCUGGUUCACCCGGCAUGGACUGGAGUUUAUGAUCAGGCAUGAUCUUGUCCUCAGGCUCCUCUGGUUCACCCGGCAUGGACUGCAGCAUAUGGUCAGGCAUGAUCUUGUCCUCAGGCUCUUCUGGUUCACCCGGCAUCGACUGGAGUUUAUGAUCAGGCAUGAUCUUGUCCUCAGGCUCCUCUGGUUCACCCGGCAUGGAUUGCAUUUUGCAAUCAGGCAUGAUCUUGUCCUCAGGCUCUUCCGGUUCACCCGGCAUGGACUGCAGCUUAUGGUCAGGCUUCACUUUGUGCUCAGAUUCUACAUUGAACAUCUCAUGAUCUUGCACGCUCAAACUAACCAUCCCAGGCUUCACAACAUGGUUCAUCUCUAGCUUUCUUGCCUCCAUCAUUGAGAGAUCCUUGAGAACCCUGCGUGCCAAAGUUGAACUAAAGAAGCAUAGUAAGAGAACGAAUCCAAAGCAUCUGCCUUGGUGUCCCUUUG